UACGGGGGGGGCAAGCGUUGUUCGGAAUUACUGGGCGUAAAGGGCUCGUAGGCGGCCAACUAAGUCAUACGUGAAAUCCCUCAGCUUAACUGGGGAACUGCGUGUGAUACUGGAUGGCUUGGAUUUGGGAGAGGGAUGCGGAAUUCCUGGUGUAGCGGUGAAAUGCGCAGAUAUCAGGAGGAACACCGGUGGCGAAGGCGGCUUGCUGGGCCUUACCUGACGCUGAGGAGCGAAAGCGUGGGGAGCGAACAGG
rnacentral:rRNA from 1 species